rnacentral:tRNA from 1 species
ACUCAAGUAGCUUAGAAUAGAGCGAUACAUUGAAGAUGUAGAGGGGGCAGAAUUGCCUUUGGGUG